GCUACAAUCGGAGGAGGUACUAUCGGUUCUCUGUGUCUUCCUCUGUAUCUCUCGUUCGCUCUGUGAUCUCUCUAUCUUGCUUUCUCUCUCUACGUGCCGGUGAGACUGCUGAUUUAUCUAUCUCUAUCUUGUUGUUCAACUUGUUCUGAUCUUGGUUUAGAGUUACGGAAUUUGGUUCAAUUCGAAGGUUUCUGAAAAACCUCUUGCUGGAUAUCAAACCAAGAUGAUGUCGACAAUGAUGGGAGGAGUUGCUCUUCCUACGAAUCAAAUCCCCAUGCCCAAUGAUCUUCAUACAACAGCACCAUCAGGAUCAAGAGCGUUCUAUCCUUGGCAACCGUCGCCUGCAGGAUUUCUUCCAACAUUUAAAUGAUAAAUCAGAAACACAAUGCUGUUAUACUUGAGGAUGCAAUACAAUAUAUACAAGAAAUUCAGCUUCUAAUUCAAGUAAGGAGACUAUGUUCUUGGAUGUUCAUCAUCCUUAGAGGCUAAUGAGCAAUUUGGAACAUUUUUGUAUUUUGACAUGCAAAUGUUUAGCAUGCUUCACUUUUGGAUAUUCUAUUUUUGCAUACCAUGGAUGUAUGGUAUUUUUGGGGCUAAUGUAGCUACCUUAAUGUGUAAUGAUACCUAAGUACUUACUUUUGAUAUUAGAAGCAUAUAUGUAUGGAGGCCAAGGGCCAAGCAUGUUUAAACUAGUACUUAUAUCUAUUUGGU